rnacentral:tRNA from 1 species
AGGUCUAUCAAGCCAAGCGGUAAGGCAGCGGCUUUUGAUGCCGCCAUUCCCUGGUUCGAAUCCAGGUAGACCUGCCA